CGGACUAUGCCUUUAUAGCGGCGAGUGACCGGCAAAGCUCAGAUUUGAAGCCUCUUUUGGCAUUGUAUUCUGAAGCCUUGGUCCUGGGACCUGGUGCUUAAGUCUUCUGGAAAGGAGCGCCAUGGAGGGUGAUAGCCCCGUGAAGCACUAACCCCAUUGUAGGAUCUUGGCAUGGAGUCGAGUUGUUUGGGAAUGCAGCUCAAAUGGGUGGUAUGCUCCAUCUAAAGCUAAAUAUCUGCGAGAGACCGAUAGCGAACAAGUACUGUGAAGGAAAGAUGAAAAGAACUUUGAAAAGAGAGUGAAAUAGUACGUGAAAUUGUUGAAAUGGAAGGAUAGGCCGCUAACCACGCAGAGUCGUGUUUAGGGGGAGGACAAAAGCUGUAUACUUCAUCAUUCUUCGGAGUGAUGUCGUUGCGGUGCAUACUCCCACCUGGGCGCGAGGAUCUAAGACUCUGCUAAAUGGUGGUCUAUCAC
rnacentral:rRNA from 1 species